rnacentral:rRNA from 1 species
AGAGUUUGAUCCUGGCUCAGGACGAACGCUGGCGGCGCGCCUAACACAUGCAAGUCGAACGGAGCUGAGAGAAGCUUGCUUUUCUUAGCUUAGUGGCGAACGGGUGAGUAACGCGUGAGUAACCUGCCCUGGAGUGGGGGACAACAGUUGGAAACGACUGCUAAUACCGCAUAAGCCCACGGCCCGGCAUCGGGCUGAGGGAAAAGGAUUUAUUCGCUUCAGGAUGGACUCGCGUCCAAUUAGCUAGUUGGUGAGGUAACGGCCCACCAAGGCGACGAUUGGUAGCCGGACUGAGAGGUUGAACGGCCACAUUGGGACUGAGACACGGCCCAGACUCCUACGGGAGGCAGCAGUGGGGGAUAUUGCACAAUGGGGGAAACCCUGAUGCAGCGACGCCGCGUGGAGGAAGAAGGUUUUCGGAUUGUAAACUCCUGUCGUUAGGGACGAUAAUGACGGUACCUAACAAGAAAGCACCGGCUAACUACGUGCCAGCAGCCGCGGUAAAACGUAGGGUGCAAGCGUUGUCCGGAAUUACUGGGUGUAAAGGGAGCGCAGGCGGACCGGCAAGUUGGAAGUGAAAACUAUGGGCUCAACCCAUAAAUUGCUUUCAAAACUGUUGGCCUUGAGUAGUGCAGAGGUAGGUGGAAUUCCCGGUGUAGCGGUGGAAUGCGUAGAUAUCGGGAGGAACACCAGUGGCGAAGGCGACCUACUGGGCACCAACUGACGCUGAGGCUCGAAAGCAUGGGUAGCAAACAGGAUUAGAUACCCUGGUAGUCCAUGCCGUAAACGAUGAUUACUAGGUGUGGAGGAUUGACCCUUUCAGUGCCGCAGUUAACACAAUAAGUAAUCCACCUGGGGAGUACGACCGCAAGGUUGAAACUCAAAGGAAUUGACGGGGGCCCGCACAAGCAGUGGAGUAUGUGGUUUAAUUCGAAGCAACGCGAAGAACCUUACCAGGUCUUGACAUCCGAUGCAUAGCUUAGAGAUAAGUGAAGUCCUUCGGGACAUCGAGACAGGUGGUGCAUGGUUGUCGUCAGCUCGUGUCGUGAGAUGUUGGGUUAAGUCCCGCAACGAGCGCAACCCUUAUUGCCAGUUACUACGCAAGAGGACUCUGGCGAGACUGCCGUUGACAAAACGGAGGAAGGUGGGGAUGACGUCAAAUCGUCACGCCCUUUAUGACCUGGGCUACACACGUACUACAAUGGCGUUUAACAAAGAGAAGCAAGACCGCGAGGUGGAGCAAAACUCAAAAACAACGUCUCAGUUCAGAUUGCAGGCUGCAACUCGCCUGCAUGAAGUCGGAAUUGCUAGUAAUCGCGGAUCAGCAUGCCGCGGUGAAUACGUUCCCGGGCCUUGUACACACCGCCCGUCA